AUAUUAUGAAACCCCCCUAUCUCCACUAAAAACGUAAAAAUGGCUGGGCGUGGUGGCUCACACCUAUAAUCCCAACACUUUGGGAGGCCAAGACGGGUGGAUCACCUGAGGUCAGGGGUUCCAGACCAGGCUGGCCAACAUGGCAAAACCCUGUCUCUACUAAAAAUACAAAAACUUAGCCUGGCAUGGUGGCACACACCUGUAAUCCAGCUACUUGGGAGACUGAGGAAGAAUUCCUUGAACCCAGAAAGACAAGGCUGCAGUGAACUGAGAUCACACCAUUGCAAUCCAGCCUAGGCAACAAGAGCAAAACUCCGUCUCAAAGAAAAAAAAAAAAAUUAGCCAGGUGUGGUGGUGUGUCCAGAAUUGGUGGGUUCUUGGUCUCACUGACUUCAAGAGUAAAGUAGCAGACCCUCGUG
rnacentral:lncRNA from 1 species